rnacentral:lncRNA from 1 species
CUUAAGAUAUAUUCUUAAAAAGUGCCCUGCAGCAAAUUAUAAAUGAAAUAAAAAUAUAAACACAAUGAGGGUGACCUAUUGAAUUCUCGAAUCUACACGUUGUAACUAACGUUCACUUUCUCGUAACUCGUACUACUGCUAAUACUGACCACUUGCUGUUUCUUUCAUCGAGACCACAAAAUUAAAUACGUUCUCUUUCUCAAUAUUUAUUUACUAUUUGUUUUAUGAAGUUACCAAGAAGCUUAAAUCUUCAAUAUCAAUCAAAAACCGUGAUAAUCAACCUCCAAAGUUAUUCAUUAAGUUAUAUCAAAAUAGUAAUAAUAAAUAAAUAUGUAAGCAGUUACAUUACAUUCAUGAUUUUUUACAAGUUAAAUUAUCACAAUCAUUGCCCAGACCACUUAUAAAUCACAUCUUCAAGUACAGAUCCAUCUGAAAGUACAACAAAUAUUAGCAAAAAUAAUAUCGAACAGCAAAUGAAUUAACAAAAUGGUAAAGAAAACUCAGUUAAAAGUGAUAAAUAUCACUUCAUCUUUCGAAGAAUUCCCAGAUCUAGCAUGAAAAACAAUUUUAGAUGAAAACUAUGCUUAUGGCCAAGUAAAUUAAUAGAUAAUGCAUAACUUUAGAAAUAUUACAUUAAAAAUACCUCACCAACAAAGAUCUCACAGAUCUGGUGUAGAUCAAAAUUAUACGAACAACAUACUAUGCAGCAAACAGUAAAUUAUUCGAUAGAAAUUAAAUUAAAAUACUGGAUAUUAUUUGAAACUACUUUCUUAAAUUAAAAAAAAUGGAUAUAAGAAAUAAAGGUGUAGAGCUCCCUUCAAUCCAAAGAAAGAUGACACCAGAAAGUGAUAAAGCUCCCUGGAUAUGGAAGCCACAAAACUACCACAUAACACACAAAAAUGGGUAGAAUUGAGGGAUCCAUAGCUAAGCAGCUCUAUCAACAUAGCAACAUCCAUAUUUGAACUAAAAGAAGCUCCACCCCUCAAAAAACCCUAACACCAAAAACUUCAACUUCAUUCAAAUAUAAAAGAAAAAAACUAUGAAAAAUAAGUGAAUCUAGUCAAAAUAAGCAAAAGUAGAAAAAGAUAAUGAGCUGCAAAAAAAUCUAGAGACUAGAUCUUGUUUUUCAGAUCUAUAAGGGAGUACCUUCUUCAAAUAGAUAAAAAGAAAAAAGAAAAGACCAGAGAGAAACUAACUCAACACCGAAAGAUGAGAACCCUAUCUUGGAAAGGCAUCCUUUAGUUCUCUUAAAUAAAGCAACUUGGACUGAAACGCAUCCCACUUUGCCACUUCAAUUACACUUUUUAUUUUUAAAUGAACUAAUAAAAAACCAAACCCUAUCUUGGAAAGGCAUCCUUUAGUUCUCUUAAAUAAAGCAACUUGGACUGAAACGCAUCCCACUUUGCCACUUCAAUUACACUUUUUAUUUUUAAAUGAACUAAUAAAAAACCCGUCUUUUUCUAUGGAAUAUAGUUUUGGAUUCUUAGUUAUUUGAAUACUAUUAUAAAAAUUGAAAAUCGACUAAAAAGAUCUUAUAAAUAAUAGUAAAUUUAAUUUGGAAGGACAAUUAAGAUAAAAAAACAAUAUUAAAAACAAUAUAAUUAAAAAUAAAAUUUAUUUUAGAUAAAUAAAUUAUUUAGUUUUUUUAAUAAAUUUUUAAAAUUUAAUUCAUUCCCUUUUAGUUUUCGCACUAUAUACUUGCGGUUUCAUUGGAGUGGAAGGUUACAAAAGAGAUACAACACAUCUAAUUUUAUUGAUCUUGAAAAUUUAAGGAUUUUUGGAUGUAUAUGUUAUGUGGAUAUAUCUAGUGAAGAUUUAUACAAAAUAAGUCGAAGAAGUGUGACUUCGUCAAUUAUGAAAAAUGUGUGAAUGAGUUCAAGGUAUGGGAUCCGAUUAAAAAGAAGAUGGUAAUAAAUGAAAUGUUGUUUUUAUGAACAAUUAAUUUUGAAGCAUGCAGUUGCAACAAAUGUGUCAACAUUUAAAAGACAAACUUCCAACAAACAAAGUAUUAGCACCCAAAGUGUCUUAAGUACUUCUAGGGGACCAUUUUUGGGUGCAAGUGUUUUAGUUGAAAAGAUGUUUGUUAAAAAUAUAGAAUUGAGGGAUGAGAAAAUAAUUCAAUUAUUAUAUUUUUGUGUUUGACAAGACCUUCGGUCUUAUGCCUACGUACCAACAUAAAAAUGAGGGAUCAAAACCUCGUAGUUCGUGGUAAAAUUUUUUAAAGAAAUUGGUGGAUUGAUUUUAACAAAAGCUUAAAGAUCUUUUGUUAUAAAUGGGAGAAUACUCAAUCAAACAUCCAUCGAUAAUGAAAGUUUUACAACAUUUAAAAGGGAGUGCUCCAACUUGGAUUCAAUAAAUAAGUAUGUCAAUAACCCCUAAUAAAUGGAAAGACUUAUAAUCAAUAUAUUAUGGAAUGGGAGAACUAUAUCUCAACCAAAGAUAACUCAAAUCUAAAUGCCCUCUUUUGAAAAAGUUAAAGCAAAAAGCACAAAAUGGUAAAAAGGAUUAGAUGAGGUUGUUAGUUCUUUUUGUCUUUUGAAAAUAAGGUCAAUAUGAUUAAGUUCAAUUUAUAAGUUUGAUUAAAAAAAUAAAAGUUUUGAAAAUCAAUGGCAUAAGGCCAAAGUUUCUACUCGUUAAAAUAAGCAUAAGUUGAAAACAAGACAAAGAAGGUUUUGAAAUGAGGGAGUGAUUUUAAAAUUUAAGAAGGAAUGGAGGAGAUGAAGGGACUAUCCUAGAUAGAAUUUUAAAAGGUUGGAGUUGAAAUGAUCUGACCAAUGGGAUGUAAUCCACAAGACAAGAAUGUCAAAUAGAAAGUUAUUUUCUUUGUACUAUUGAGCAAGCAACAAGCAUAACCAUCCAAGCAAUUAAUAUAAAGAUCAAAUGGCAUCAAAUAAAGAUAGUCAACAUCCAAGCAAGCACUCCAAAAGCAAGCAGACUUCAGUGUCUUUAAAUGUGUCAGAUGAAAUAUUCCUUGUGGCAAACUCAUAGAAACAACCAUCAGACAUGAACAAUAAGAUUAAGAUAACAACUUAAUCAUAGAGACAAAAUAAUAGAUAAACCAGUGAGGCUCUCAAGGCUUGUCUCAGAUGAAUGGCAUUGACCAAGCUAACUCAGUCUCAAAUAAUGGCAUUGACCAAGUCCUUCAAAGCAUUGGGAUGUUGCAUACUCUAAGUCUAAAAGUUCAAAUCAACAUAUUUUUUAGGAUUUUUGUUAUUAUUAGGUAUCUUAAGGUCCUAAGACCACAAACAAAAUAAAAUCACAAGUGCACAAUAUAUACAAGCACAAAGAUAUGGCUCAAAUGAGCAAAGUGAAAAUGACUGAAACAUAAACAUCUUAAAUGAAAUGUAAAUGAUAAUGACUGAUAAAUGUAUUGAAAUUUAAAUUGCAUUAAGCAAAUGACAUUAAAGAUAAAGCAAUAAUAAAUAAAUGUUAGUGAAGGAAAUCAUUGUUUAAGUCAUUCUUUGGAGAACACGCAACCAUCCACUCACAAGCAUGAAGACAUGAACCAAGACAUCAUCUAUGAGAAGGGCUCCAACUUGGAUAAAUUAACAAGUAUGCCCGUAGCACUCACAAAUGGAAAAAAGGUUAAUUCUUCACACAAUACCAUGAGGGAUGAGAGACUUACAAACUCACUUAUAAGAAUGUUAUGUCUUUGGGACAAAAUUUUGCUCUAUGUUAAGCAAUCGUAAUUGGACUUAUGUAAAAGACACAACUAUUUGAGGUCGGGCAAUAAAACAUUGAUGUUAAUGCAUGCUAGAGACAUGGUACAAAGAACCAAACUCCUAAAGCAUACCACCAAAAAAAUGGGAUGAACCUAUCUCUAUUAACCUCAUGUUGAUUCAUCUAACACAAAGUCAUUGAUGAAUCAACUAGCCUUUGAUUAUUUGAGAAGUCAUUGGUCAAUGAAGGAUUAAGGAAUGUGAGGGAUGAAGAUGAAGGGAGAUGGAAAUGGAAAUCCAAAUUGAUCAAGGGAGGGAUUUCAUCUGAUCAAUAUUAUCCAUUCAUUUUGAGGAAUGAAGUUUACACUUCAUCAACCCCCUAAAUCCAAUAAUGUUGAUCAAAUGGAAGUUCAAAUCAACCAUGAUCAAGGUCAAACAGAAGAUGAAACAACACAAAAUCAACCAAAUAGCUCAACAUAUUAUUUCAAUAAUUAAUGAAAUUAAAGUCAAUUUUAAAUGAAAGAUGAAACAACACAAAAUCAACCAAAUAGCUCAACAUAUUAUUUCAAUAAUUAAUGAAAUUAAAGUCAAUUUUAAAUGAAUAAAAAUGCAUUUUAAAAGGGUAAAAACCUCAAAUCCCUUCAAAUAACCAAAUAAAUGGCCAAGGGAUUUAUCCUAGGUCAAAGGACCUUAGACAAAAAUUUGGGAAUUUUUGGAAAGUCAGAAGUAUUUAAAAUUAAUUAAAAACAAGUCAAAAACUAAUAAAUUCACAAAAAAUAUAAAAUCUAAUCCAAAAAAUGAUUUUAAUUCAAAAUAUGAAAGAGGAAGUUAUUUAAAGAUUUUUGAUGAAAUUCCAAUAUUUUUUGGAUUAAAAAUGAAAUUAUUAUGAAUUUUAUAAAGAUAAGCUAAUUAAAAUAUUAAUCAUAAAAAUAAAGAAAAUAGAAAAAAUAAGGGUCAUCGGAUCUCCCUAAUUAAUUGAGGUGACAUAUCUGAUGGUCACGUGCAUGAAUUCCACGAUGGAUCAAAGUCAAAGCAUGCACAUGAAUGAUAAUCAGAACUAAGGGUCAAGAUUAUAACGUGGCAAAGGAUCAGAUGGUCUGGAUUGAUGUCAGCACUCCACCAGGGCCCUAGCUCUGGUCAUCUUCUCCAGUGACCUCCAUCGGACUGGUCCAACCAAAAAGUUCAUCAAAAACAAAGAUCCGCAUAUGGUUUUAAAGAGAAAAUCAAGGGGAGUACGAAUCUGACCUCCAUUUCUUCCAAUUCUCACUAUACAACGAGAUGUGUGGAAUUGAAAAAUGAGGUGGAUGAACUGGGUUGCUUCGAUUUAACCUCAAAGCAACUUAAUCUUGUUGCCUACAUUGGUAGGACUUCAGCUGACCAAAUAUUAAGUGAAAUGAUGGAGAAUUUAGGGAGAAUCGAAGAAGGAAAGAUUGAGAAAUUUCACCUUCUGUUUGCAAUGAUGAAGCUCGAUCUCAAUUCCAAUUCACUUGGUCCUGCUUCUACUUGCUUGCAGGAGAUGAUUUGAAUGCAAAAGGCUAUGAAUCCUUGGAGUUUCAGUUCCAAAACAGAAUGAGAACUAAAACUCGAUUUCAAAUGAAAUCCUCAAGGUAUUCUAUCAAUGGAGGUUUAGGGGAUUUGUAGAUCAAAGCUUGGUAAAGGUCUCACUUAUGAGGCAUUUUGGUAUGUAUUUUAUGCCUUAGUGAAAAAUUUACAAAAAAAAAAAUUUUCCAACACAUUCAAAAAUUGGUCAAAAUAGUAACUUGUGUGCAUGGGUGCAUGGGCAUGCAUUAAGGCUCAAAUGAUGAUUGCAAAAGGUCUAAAUUCAUGCACAUUUUAUGUUGAAAUCAUUUCAUGAAGCCAUGCAAUGUUGAUUGAAAGUUGAGUACAAAAUUUUCCAAAUAGGGUCAUGCAACCUACCCAUGUGUAAGUCCCUCAAAUUUAAUCCAAAUGUCAUAAUCUUUGACUCUUUGGAAAGUUAGCAUGAAGGGGAACAACUUUGAUGUUGAAACUUUUUCCAUUUGGAGAUUGGAUCAUGAUGAAUUUUGGUGUGGACCUUGAAACAAAAUUGAAGAGGAACUUAUUUAGGACAUUUGUCUCGAAAUGGAACUUAAAAAGCUUGUGAAAUGAGAAAGUUAUGCUUUUUGGAACUUGCCAUAGGCUAUUCUUGCCAAAAUGCGACCAACCAAUAUGACCUAAAAAUGUGAUUUUGAGAUUUCUUGAUUUUGAAGGAACAAUGCUAGAUGUUUUAAGCUCAUGUGAUCAUAUCAUAAUGUAAAGUUAAGCUUGGAGCUUUGUGGGAUAAUUUUAGGUCAAGUUCAUGGGUGAAUCAAAUGCCUUGAAAUUUCAAAAACCAUGACCAAACCAAGUACUUGUAACAUAAAUUGAAUGAGUGUUUGCAUUGUGAAUUGUGGUUUUAGUUGUCAUUAAGUGAUAUUGAAUGAAUGUUGGUAUGAUAGGGUGAUCAAAAUGAAGCAAGGUCAAUGAUCAAAGGAUGCCCGAACUAGGGUUUCUUGAACCACAAGCUUCAUCAAAAACCAUGGUCAGACAAAUUAGGGUUUGGUGAUGUAAAGGACAUAUUGAGAUGCUUCAAAGGUUUGAGUCAUGAAAAAAAAUUGGAUUUUAGGGGUCCUCAAUGACAUGGUCAAGAUCCAUAGUGAAUCAUGACUUGUACAAGCCAAUGAAGGUCGAGCUAGGGUUAGGGUCUUUGGGUGACCAUAUGAACUUGAUGUGUCUUAAAAGGGGGACUCACCAUCCAAUUAGGGUUUUGGAGAGUGAGUGAGAUGUCUUGAAUGAUCCUUCACGAUUUGUUGGAUGCUUGAGGAUAUAUAUUAGGGUUAAGGUGGCUUGGGCAUACCUCAACAUGAUCAGAGGGUCUUGAGGCUUCAUAGAUGAACCUCAUGCCUUGGGUUUGUGGAUUAUUAAAAGUCAUUAAAUACAAAUGCAUAUGAAAUGAUAUGUAUGGGGUGUAUGCUUAUGAAUAAUUAAGGUUUAAGGUGGUGAUGCGGAGGUAGAGUAAAUUUGAGGGUAUAGCCUAUUUGUUGGGAACUUUUAGUCCCAUAGGCAAAGUUAUAUUAAUCCUGGAUGAUUAGACUUUAAGUCCCUCAGGAUAAGCAAUGAAUCUAUCGGGAGAGACUUCUAUCAAGCCCCCCGACAAGAGUUUUAACUAGGUCUCUUAGGUGAGACUUCAGUCUCGCCUCUUUGGCGAGAUUCAUGUGUCAGAUCCCACCCGAGAAAACUCUAAGUCCCUCAGGCGAGGAUUUUAGAUAAAAUGUUUAUUAUGAACUCUUAGUCCCAUGAGCGAACUUAUAGUAAGCCUGGAUGAUGAGAUUGUAAGUCCCUCAGACGAGGCGUUGUACCUCUUGGGCGGGACAUUUAUCACACCCUCAAACAAUAAUUUUAACUAAGUAUUUUAGGAUAGACUUCAAUUGUACCUCUUUGGGUGAGAUUGCCCAAGGAAACUUUAAGUUCCCUAGAUGAUGAGCUUAGAUAGUUCAUUCAUAUUUCCCUAGAAAGCGAUAAGUAUAUUUGCCACGAAGUUCAACAUAUAAAGUAUUGACUUAAUAGGCGACAAAGAUCUUAUCCAUGAAGUCCAACAUAUAAAAUAUUAUCUUAAGAGGUGGCAAGGAUCUUCACCGUGAAAUCCAACAUACAAAACUGCCUUAAGAGGUGAAAAGGAUCUUCACCAUGAAGUCCAACAUACAGAGUAUUUCCUUAAGAGACUGCAAGGAUUUUCUCCACGAAGUCUAACAUAAGAAAUAUUUCCUUAAUAGGCAACAAUAAUCUUCACCGUGAAGUCCAACAUAAUAAAUAUAACCUUAAUAGGCAGUAAUGCUCUUUUCCAUGAAGUCCAACAUAUAAAUUAUUGCGUUAAGUUACGAUAAGGAUUUUCACCAUGAAAUCCAGAAUAAGAAAUAUUGUAUUAAGAGGUGGCAAGGAUCUUUGCCAUGAAGUCUAAUAUACAAAGUAUUUCCUUAAGAGGAGGAAAUAAUCUUUGCCAUGAAGUCCAACAUACAAAGUAUUUCCUUAAGAUGUAGUAAGGAUUUUUUCCAUGAAGUCUUACAUACAAAAUAUUUCCUUAAUAGGCGGAAAGGAUCUUCGUCAUGAAGUCAAACAUACAAAGUAUUACCUUAAGAGGCAAAAAUGGUCUCUCUUAGGGAUCUAGUAUUUUGAUCGCCUCUUAGGGUGAUCCUCUUUAGAGAUUUUAGGUUCCCUUCCCAAAAGGAAUAGCUAGCAAACAUAGAUUCUUGGGAAUAAAAUAGUGAGAGGCCUCUUUAAAAAACCCCGCCUUAUGCAAGGCACAGAGGGAAAAUAGUUCACCCCCUAAAACAAUAUUUCUUUUAAAACGAAAUAGAUAUAAUACUCGCCUAUCAAAAUUAAUACCAAAGUGAUAAACGAUAGUAAAGAAAGUAAACAAAUGACAGUAGGAAAAGUGGAGCUAGUGGGCAUUCCUUUUGGCCUUUAAAGCUUCGAUCUCCCCAGUAGCUUAGAACUCAGUGAGCCUACCUUUUACAGGCAGAACUAGUCUCUCUGCCUCCGGUGAAUCCUCCUGCAAUAGUUGAGCGUAUAGCGCAUAAAUUUGUCCUUCUCUCCCAUGGAAGUCUCCUUUGAUUUAUUGGGCAUAUGGCUUCUUGUGUCAUCUCACCCUCUCUAGUUGAACUUGGCUUCCCAUAAGAAGAUUCACCAUUCACAUACUUCUUCAGGUGUCCCUCCUGGAUCAACCUCUCAUUCUCUUUUUUGAGUUGGUAACAUUCCUCGGUGUGGUGUCCUUUGAAUCUAUGGAACUUGCACCAUUUACCUGGUUUGGGACCCAUCAUGUAUGCUUUUAGAAAUACAUGGGGCAUAAGGAUAUUGUGCAGGUGAAGAACCUCAUGUCAGGUCUGUUUAUGGCGAGUGUUCAUGGGCAUGAAUCUCUUUGCCAUCUUUCCUACUCUCUAUAACACAAUUGUGUCCUUGAUGGGAGAGGUGUAAUUACUCUUCUUUUGAUGGUGCAAACCAUCAACGUUAGGAGCAUAUUUUUUGACGUCUCUCACUUUCUUCUCAAUUUUGCUCUCCUCGCCCUUUAUGUAAUAUUAUACCUUGGUGGCCACCUUUACUAACAAGAGUGUUGGCUUUUAGGCGAGAGACUAUCCUCGCCCUUUAUGUAAUAUUAUACCUUGGUGGCCACCUUUACUAACAAGAGUGUUGGCUUUUAGGCGAGAGACUCAUUAAAGUGUCCCGCCUUAAGUCUAUUUUGGAACACCCUCACAAAAAUUUAUUGGUUUGGUGGGACAAUCUUGGUGGUGGAUUCACUGAACUUGGAGAGAUAGUCCCCUAACAACUUCGAUGGACCCUGUUAUUUUGUUGAACAGUUUGGUAGUGUAAAUUUUCCAAUGUCAACUAGUAGUAAACUGGUGUAUGAGUUUCCUCACUAGCUCCUGAUAAUUGGCGAUGGAAGUUAGGGGUAUACCAUAUACAAUUGUAGGUCAACAUCCCUGAAGGUGUCAAACAGUAAUUUGCAUUACAAGGAGUGGGGCACUCUAGUGAUGACCAUAUGUGUGUUGAUUGAGGUGACUGAAGGAGAAUUGCCAUCCAAGGCGCAGCGAAAUUUAAAAAAUUUCUCCAUUUAGUGAUCCUUACGAAUGGGCAUGAUCAAUGAUAGAAUUAUUACCUCUUGUGGCGAUUCAAACCUCUGGUGCAGAUUUCUGAUAAUGAUCAAAACCUUUGAUACAGAUCCACGGGGCGAUCACGAACGUUGAACGAUGACAACGUCUCUACUCAGUCCACACGAACGGAUUCCUUCAAUCGCAGUGCUAGCUGUUAUGAAUGAAGGCUUUGAGUGAGAGAGAGAUACGAAAUUCCAACUCUUCAGUUGUGUUUUCUGUCUCAGUGAGUUCAUAUGCUUCUACCCAAGGGGUUCUAUUUAUAGAACCACUUGUGUGGGCUUCAAGCCAAAAAGCCCACUUAAGUGCAUUUUGGCCCAUAUCUCACCCUUGAUUCUAUUUAUAAAAUCAUGUUAUUCAGUACAUCUUUGUGUUCAUUUUCAUUUUAUUGUUUUGUUUGCAAAAAUGACGUCCGAAUUUUUGGUAAACAUUACAUCAUGAAACAUAAGAGCUUUACAGGUACGUGCUCAAUAAACAUUGAAAAUUGCUGUAAAUUUUAAGCGCUUGGGAUCGUCUAUUCAGAACAGGUACACUCGGGGCAUUUCCUUAAGGUCCCCAUCAAAUGAUCGUUGAUGUUUUUCCUCAACAGUUGGAAUUUGGUAUCUUAUCCCUGCAGAGUUGGUCCGAGCGUUGGAUUCUUCAAUCCCCAACAGGCUCUCACUGCUGUACUUCCCCAAGCAUUUGUUUCAGAUUAUACAUUCACCAGUAGAGUCGACAGUGUCAGACUGUAUAUCACCAGCGAAGUUGACAGUGACAAACUGUAUCUUCCCAACAAAAGUGGCUGCUCCUCAGAGUUCAAUGCCAGAUCGAUGAUCUCGACGUUAGACCCACGACCUCUUUCCUUGAAGCAGAAUCUCGGUACCGUAUCGGUGUUUGCUUCCCCUGCUGAGUCGUCUCUCUCGCAGAUUAUGGUUGCCAGAACCACUAUCGCUUUCCUCAACAACAAGUUUUCAGUGCCGUUCUCUCCUCAGUCAGAGCCUCAGUAUUUUGUUAUUUGCCCGAACACCGUAUGGCGGAUCAUUUCCCCAGCAGAAUUCUUUGCCUCGGCUUGGCAUUCUAUCUAAUCAAGCAUUUCACAUCCCUGCAUGUAGAAUCAUAUUGCAUUGCAUCCUCCCAAAUUGCGUAGCAUUUCCAUUUUCAUGGAGCAUUACGCCAUUGAAAAAUUCAAACAUACGCAUGUAAAGCAUAAGGCACUCUCGGUAUCCCAAGUGACAAGCCAGAAGUUGUUUCCAGUACUCAGACUGAAGAUUGUUCAUGACUUAUCUUUAUUAUUCCCAACAGGGGUCGUUGGCCCACGCGCAGCCUCAAUUAUCAUUUUCCCUAUUUCUGCCGAUGCUGAUAGGCAUGAAAGUUUCUGGUAUUCAGACCGAAGUGGCAUUUAGGCCAGUUUUCCGAUGUUCAGAUCGAAGAAGUUUCCGACGUUCAAGUCGAUGCAACUUGUGGCAUUCAGGCCAGGUUCCCGGUAUUCAGACCGAAGUGGCAUUCAAGCUAGUUUUCCGAUUUCAGAUCGAAGAAGUUUCCGACGUUCAGGUCGAUGCAACUUGUGGCAUUCAGGCCAAGUUCCCGGUAUUCAGACCGAAGUGACAUUCAGGUCAGUUUUCCGAUGUUCAGAUCGAAGAAGUUUCCGACGUUCAGGUCGAUGCAACUUGUGGCAUUCAGGCCAGGUUCCCGGUAUUCAGACCAAAGUGGCAUUCAGGCCAGUUUUCCGAUGUUCAAAUCGAAGAAGUUUCCGACGUUCAUUCAGGCCAAGUUCCCGGUAUCCAGACCGAAGUGGCAUUCAGGCCAGUUUUCCGAUGUUCAGAUCGAAGAAGUUUCUGACGUUCAUUCAGGCCAAGUUCCCGGUAUUCAGACCGAAGUGGAAUUCAGGCCAGUUUUCCGAUGUUCGGAUCGAAGAAGUUUCUGACGUUCAGGUCGACGCAACUUGUGGCAUUCAGGCCAGUUUUACGGUAUUCAGAUCGAAGUGGCGCUCAGGCCAGUUUCCCGAUGUUCAGACCGAUGUUUGAUAAUCUAAUAUCUUCCAAUGCUCAAAUCGAAGUCAUUUCCAGUAUUCAGACUGAUGAGCGGCAUUCAGGCCAUGGUUAUUUCUGUGUUACCAUUUAUUUUGGUAUCCAGGUUAACAUUCUUUUUCGGUAUUCAGACCGACUCUCACAACUGAUGAGCGGCAUUCAGGCCAUGGUUAUUUCUGUGUUACCAUUUAUUUUGGUAUCCAGGUUAACAUUCUUUUUCGGUAUUCAGACCGACUCUCACCGUACCAGACGGAUUCUUCUUUCAAGACCAUUUAUUUGCCGAUUCUGACAGGCAUCGUUACUUCACUUCACUUCAGUGUAAAUUUUCAGGCUUUUAUUGUAUUCAAUUCCCUGAUACCUCGAAAGUGCGAAAGUCGCUGCUAUCUUCUUUUCGGGUCUCUAGUUGAUUGAAUAGGGGCAGCUGUAGCACCUCAAAUUUGCCCCCCUCAUUCAUGCAUUCAUUUUUUGGUCAUUUAACAUUUCAUAUUGCAUUUCAUCAUGUCAAUCAGAAUUAGAUCCAAGAAGCUUGAAUAUCAUCCAAGACACUUUGUGGGUUCUAUCGGGGUGAUCAGCCAACACAAGGGAAUGAUUUGAGUUACUUCCAACAUGUUCAAAUGGGGUCUAUUCAUCAUUCAAAACGCUAAUCUUGAAGGAGCAAAAGUCUGUUCUUGAGCUGUCAUGCUCGCUAGGCGAGCAGCGUGGUUCGCCUAGCGAGUCUGAACUGUCAUGUUCGCUAGGCGAGCAAAUUCUUCGCUAGGAGAGCAAAUUCUUCGCUAGGCGAAGCGCACGCGUUUUAAAAAUAAAAAAUAUACAGCAGAAAAAAUCUUGGACUUUGACCUCUCUCAUUUGAGCCCACCAAGCCACGAAAAUCAGGUUAUAAAUUCUAAAAAUUCAGUGGAAAAACCCUAGAGAGAGAGAGAGAGGAGAAGAGCUAACAGAAUUCAGAGCAGCCUCCAGAGACACUGAAGAAAAAAAACUCCUUUGCACAGGAUCACCUCUACCAAUUCCAUCUCAUACAAACCCUAAGAUUGCUUUGCAAACCCAACCGGGCAAUUCAAUUUCAUUCGAUCUCUCCGAUCAGGUUUGCCCUAUUUCCAUCACUUUAUGCUUUCAAUCUGAAAUUUCUAAAUGUAUAAGGCAUUAUGGGUGAAUUUGGAAGAGUGGGUAUCGUUAGGUUUUGCACACGGGUUUAGAUAUGCAUGAAUGUGUAAAACAAUACCUUGAAUGUUUAAUCGUUUAAUUUCUGAAAUGUGUACCAUAGGGUUUGGGGUUACUGAAAUCAUACUGUUAUCAAAGAAGAACCUAGAACCCGCAGGCAUUCGCUAGCACCUCGCUAAGCGAACAUGUAGCGACGCUUCGCUAGCACCUCGCUAAGCGAAGCAGUAACGAUGAUGACAGUAACUGUUUUUUCUGUUGGCUCUCUAACCUGUUUUGUGACAUGUUUUCUAUUGCAUCCGGGCACUGUUUACCUGACAUUGUUGUUGCUAUGAUUCUUUUGUUUGAUGCAACUCUCGAUUGCACCCCAUCUUGUUACUCUAACUUGUUUGUUGAGUUUUUGUGAGAGCUCCCAUAACUCCUAAAGAGAUAGCUUGCUUGGUAUUCCGCUUUAUUUGUGGGAUACCAUUGUGGAGAAUUAUUCUGAUUGCUUUGCUGACGUGCUUUCUUUGAUGAUGCUAGCUUGAGAGAUCACCGGGUUUCUUGCUUCUCUAGUUGUUAUUACUUCGGAUUUUUAUCCGUGUGGUAGAUCUCCUGAUCUCUUUAUCUUUCUCGCAUUUUACCGCUUUCUUAGCUGGAAGACCUCGAUAGGAGGCGAUGUUUUUUGUGUGUUUACUUUUGUGCCCAAAGACCUCCAAGAAGAGGCACCAAUGCUAAAGACCUCCACGAAGAGGCAAUUGACGGAUAUAAGGGAUUAGUAGUCAAUCCCCCGUUAUUCAGUGUGUCGUUCUUUAUGCUCGCACUAUGUGUCGAUGCUUCAAAACAAAAGCCCAAGAUCUUUUGUCCGGUCAGUCAGUGGAGAGGGUUCCACCUUUCUGAAUCCCCACUUUUUGUCAUGAGCUCACUCUGUCCAAGGUUAAGAGCUAUGAGGUCUUAUCCUCAUUACCCUUUCGAUCUGCUCACCCUGACGUUCGGUGUCAGUGGUUAAGAGCCCGUUUGAUUACCCUUCCAUGGCUUGUUUGUCGAGGUUGAUAUGACCCCUCUUGACUAAAGCCCUACCCAUGUAUGCUUGAGCCCCCUUGUUGGCGCGUUUACUUUAUGCAUGUUUGUUUUGUAUGGUGUGAUCGUCUCCCCAUAGGAUUUCUAGGCUACAUAUAGUCUCUCAUUUGCAUGUUAAUCAAGGUAGCACGGUUCCUUCGUCUAGGACUUCCUUUUUGCAUGAGCACUCCUAAAACACAAACAAACUCAUUGAUUUUUCUUCUCCUAAGAACACGUUAACUCCUUCUACUACAGGCGAGUAAGUCUCCAAAGGUCUAGCAUCCGGUAGAUUGCAUAGUAACGUUGUUCACCCUAAAAAAAACACAAAACAAACAAAUAGGUCAGCCGAGCUACGAAGACUCUGAUUCUCAUAUUCAGAAGAGAUACGUAUGUAGUGGAUGCGACAUCCGUGCGAGUCAUUUUCUUUUGACCCCUCUUUUAGUAAAUAGUACAUUAGAUAAACCCACACCCUUUGGACAAGAACAACAAGAGUGGAUCCCGUAGAGUACUACGGAUGCGUAGGGGUGCCUAAUACCUUCCUUCGAUCUCGAACUCCCGAACCCAAGAUUUGGUUGCGAGACCUUGUCUUUUCCUUUCCUUUUUCCAAGUUUACUUCGAGCGUUUCCUUUCCCUCCUUUGGGAUAAAUAACGCACGGUGGCGACUCUUCUGUCAUUUUCUUUCCUUUGUUAUCGGUUGUUCCGUUUCGCAUUUAGGUUGCGACAGCUAGCGAAUCUGCUGGGGACCCGGUUUCCCUAAGCGAGUCCCUCCUAGCUUUUGUAGGUUUCUUGUUUGUUGGGUGUUUAUUCUUUUGCACAGUUAUUUAUUUUUCAGCAUUUACCUGCUUUACCUUAUUGCAUUCAUGUACAUAUGAUUUGCUGAAUCUGUUGGAUUCUGUGGGUUGUUUGUUUGUUGGGGUGGGAUGUUCUAUGAGAAAUAAGCCCACUACCCAGGCUUGAGUCUACACAUAGGUUUUAGAGUGGAUAGUCAUGAGGCUUGCGUGGCAUGUUGCUACAUUAAGUCGUUCGUGAGACCCACAUCCAGACGAGGUUUCUUUUGGAUAUAUUCUGUCCUAUGGGUGUUCCAUAACGACAGAUAUUCCUUUAGAAAUCGUUGACUCUGGUGACCAUUUCCCGAGAACUCAGUCGAGGCCUCUCCUCUGAGACGCGUUUAUGUUAGCUCUGGUGGGCGCAUUCUCGCUGCUCAAUCCGAGGACCCCGAGGCUGGGAACUUGCUUUAGGAUAUCCUGUUGAGGGGAGUCAGUGGAGGCUUUUUAUCCCGUAAUAAUGCCAAACCUUCAGUGGUAAACGUAUUAUUCUCGACUGAAGGGCCGAAGUUGACGAACUUCUGUUCUUAGAACCUACCAGUGAGGGGCGGGCUAAAUUCAGGAAACCUUACCGUAAUAAUGCCAAACCUUCAGUGGUAAACGUAUUAUUCUCGACUGAAGGGCCGAAGUUGACGAACUUCUGUUCUUAGAACCUACCAGUGAGGGGCGGGCUAAAUUCAGGAAACCUUAACCUUCAAUCAACCCGGUUUUCUGGUAUUCUUGUUGGAGUAGAGCUUUGAUCUUGUAUUAUAUUCCUUAGUGGGUUUCUCUUCAAACAGUGCAACCUGACAGUUGUCCAAGCGGAUGCAGCAGUCCUGAUUUCCAUGUCACUGCAUUGCAUCACAUCAUUUUGCAUUCAUAUCAUUUAACACAUGUUUAUCCGUUUCUAGGGUUUUAUAUCUUCUUCUUGAUUCCGGUCGGGGUUUUCUGGUUCUCCUAAGAUGGACAUUGGUAGAAAGAGACAUGUCGCCUACAAGUUUCCUGUGGUUUGCUUGGAUCCCAUUCAGCAGCUAAUGAAGUUAAUGGAUCAUGAUUCUCUAGAAAGAUUCCGGAAGGAUUACGGGCUGAUCCUAAGUUUCGUCACGGUUCUCUCCAAAGAUCAACAUGACGCUCUCUUUACAUUGUUGCAGUUCUAUGACCCUCCAUUGAGGUGUUUCACGUUCCUAGAUUAUAUUUUGGUCCCUACUUUGGAGGAGGUUGCUAGUUUUCUCAGAGUUCCUAUCAAGCCGCAGUUGCUAUUCUACAGUUCCGAGUUUCUGCCCGAUCUCAACAUGGUUGCUUCAGCCACAUAUUUGGGGAAAUCAGUCUUUGAAGGCUAUAUGUGUCAGAAGGGAGAAGUUAAUGGUUUUCAUCUGGAGUUCUUACUGGGGAAGCAAGAGAAGCUUGAAGAUGGGUGACCAGAGGGGUUUCAACGCUGUGUUGGCUCUUUGUGUGUAUGGGAUUGUCCUGUCCUAAUGUGGCAUUUGUGGACGUAGAUGCCAUACGCCUCUUCGUGUUGGGAAAUCCGGUGGCCGACCUUGUUGGGAUUUCUUUUCAUUCAGUGCAUCACAGGAAUGAGAAUAGAGGGAGAUUGGUGAAUUGUUGUGCGCUUUUUUUAUAAGUGUUCAGUUCUCACCUACCCAAGUCAGAGCGUUGUUGAUGUCAAGAACUCGUUGAGUUGGUCAAAGAGACUGAUGGGAUAAGAGCAAUAAGAUAUUUCUGGUGGUCAGACCGGAGGUUGCUUCGGGCAGAUAUUAUUCAUAGUUGUGGGAACUUCCCGAAUUACCAUUGGUAGGAAAGAGGAAGUAUCAACUACAAUCCUGCUCUGGCAGCCAGACAGUUCGGAUAUGCUUUAAGAACUCCGCUUUGGAAAGAUUGUGGAAGAAUUUCUGUUUUUCCAUUCUUCAUCUGAUAUGACUAUAUCCGUAAGGCAACUGAGGCUUGGUUCAAGGUGAUCAGAGAGGAAGAACUGUGCUUGGAAAGGAGAUUGUAGAACUUACCCUCAGUAUAGAGAUGGCUUCAGAAGAGUCGAGAGUUUGUCGGCCCAUUUCUAUUGAGAACCUCUGUAUCCCUACCCUGACAAGUCAAAACGGUGAGCGACGAGGAAGUAUGCCACAAAUGAAGAUGCAUGGAGCAGCUUCAAACUGAAAAUCGGAGUUAAGUGUAAGCUGCAGCUGUAUGCAUCAUUCCUGAGGCGGAAUAUAGAAGGGGGAAGCGAGUUCAGCGGAAGCAGCAGAGGAAUAUGUUGUGAGGUGGACUUUCACGGGAGACAGAACAAAGCCUGCAUCAUCCAGUUUGACUUGGGCGAGUCACAGCAGUUAAAAUGCUCAUGGUAAUGUUAGCUGGUUGGCAAGCGCAAUGGAUACAUUUUCAGCUUGUCAGAAAGGUAAAGAGGAGGAAUAGUGGCGAAUUGAUAGUAGCAGAUGGAGAAGUUGAACGAUUUUGUUGAAGGAGAGACAAUGAGCUUCUGUGCGCCAGGUUCAACCAAUGAUUUAUCACAGAUCAACUCAACAAAGUCAAGACAGUAUCUGACGAACUCAAAGUGCUCGGCAGGUUUGAAGCAAUCAGACUUUGAAGAGGUAUUCGAGAGAUGAUGAAAUUCUACAGAGACACAUCACAGUUGGAUGAGUUAUCACAAGGAAUCUGCUUAUCCGGCGUUUGCAGAAUCUCUAGAUCAUCCUGACAGUGCAUACUGGCUGAAGGCAGGUAGCAGUCCUUAUGGGUUGUAUACAGGGGCUGAUUCUAUUUUUUGUUCCUCUCUUACUUAUUUGAUUAGUGAUGAUCCACAGGCUGUUGUGGAGAUCCUUUUUUUGAUGUUACUGUUGCCUAAGCCUUCCUUCAUAUAUGUUCCUUAUUGCAUCUUGAUCUCAAAGUUUAUCCACAAACUCGGUUUCUUGCGCUUUCUGUCUCGAUGUGAGACUGGAUCAAGGGGGUAGAAUACCGUCGUUGGACAUUUUGAUAAACAUGUCAUUGCAUUUACAUAUUCAUUAAAAUGUCUUGCAUAAGCAGGUACCGCUGCGGUGUUCUCAUAUUAUUUGUGUUCCACCUCGUAGGAUAGCUGACGGGAAAUUCACCGUACGGUACCCGCAGAACACUAGAGCAGCAUGGAAAGCCUACAAGCAGAGCCUCGCCGAGAUGAGGAUCCGCAUGACCCAAUUCAUGGAUGUGGUUCAAGGGGUGGCUCAGGGACAACAAGAGCUCAGGCAGAUGAUGCAGAGGAAUCCCGCCGUUACUCAACCAGAGAUGUUGACUGAUCCUCCAGCUGGAGAGGUUAACGGACCCAGUGGACCGGGGCCUACCCCGAUCCCGCAUGUCAACUCCGGUCAACAGCCCGUCCAUGAUGAUCAGGACGACCAGUUCACCCAGAUGCAGGAAGACUUUGGCAUAGGCCAUGGCAUGGACCCCAUGUUUAGAAGGUUAGAGGAGAGUCUGAAGGCAGUGGAAGGACAAAAUCUUCUGGGAGUAGACGUUGCUGACUUGGGAUUGGUCCCAGACGUGAGGGUGCCACCGAAAUUCAAGGUCCCGAUAUUUGACAAAUACAGUGGCAACUCUUGCCCAAAGACUCAGGUGCAAGCCUAUUUCCGUAAAAUGGUUGCAUACUCUGACAAUGAAAAGUUGCUUAUGUACUUUUUCCAGGAUAACCUAGCUGGGGCAUCCUUGGAAUGGUAUAUGAGGCUGGACAGAGCCCACAUCCGCUGCUGGAGGGAUUUGGCUGAGGCUUUCGUGAAGCAGUAUCAGUAUAAUGCCGACAUGGCUCCGGACAGAACUCAACUUCAAAAUCUGUCUCUUAAAAGCAAUGAGUGCUUCAGGGAAUACACUCAACGCUGGAGGGAGACAACUUCUCGUGUUCAACCUCCUAUGUUGGAGAAGGAAAUGGCUAACAUGUUCAUGAACACUCUUCCUGGACCUUACUUGGAACGCCUGGUGGGUUGCAAUGCCUCCAACUUUGCUGAUGUAGUCUCUACCGGCGAGAGGGUGGAGAACUAUUUGAAGACAUGCAAGAUCUAGAGUGGAGGUGGAUCUUCAUCAGGGGUGAAGAAGUCGUUCAUUCAGGGACAGAAGAGGAGAGAAGGGGAUGCAAAUGCCAUAUCUUCUUAUCAGAAAAGGGGUAACCGGAGGAAUAGCUUUCAGAACUAUCAUCAACCACCGUAUGUUGCGGCUGUGACCAUUCCGGCUGCAGCACCACUACAACAACAACAACCGCAACGUCAGCAAACUCAGUACCAACAACAACAACCGGGUAACAAACCCGCCUAUCAACAGAGGCAAAGGAUGAUGGACCAACGUUUCGACACUCUUUCAAUGUCGUACGCUCAGUUGCUUUCUAGUCUUCAACAACUACAACUUAUGCAGUUACGCACUCUGGCUCCUCCUGUUGGUAGGCUUCUGGUGGGUUACGACGCCAACGCUAGGUGUAGCUUCCACUCUGGGGCACCUGGCCACAAUAUUGAAAACUGCAAAGCUUUUAAGCAUGUAGUUCAGGACCUCAUAGAUUCAAAGGCCAUCAACCUUGCACCGGCUCCUAAUGUCGUCAACAAUCCCAUGCCACAUUAUGGUAGUGCGAAUGUUAAUAUGAUGGAAGGGGAAGCCAGAUCUGUAAAAGAUGUGUUGAAGUUAAGGACUCCGUUGUUGGAUAUCAAAGGCUACUUGUUGAAGGCCGAUGUUUUCCCUGGUUGUGGGAAGGGUUGUGUGGAUUGUGCUACUCAGAGUGGAGCCUGUUUGAAGCUACAACAUGGUAUCCAGGCCUUGCUCGACGAAGGUACCCUCCAGGUUAAAGAUUUGUCUGUCCAAGAGUCUGUGGAAGGGGUUGAGGAAGAGGGGUUUGAGGAUGCUACUGAUGAAUUCACAUAUGUUGUUCCUACUGGUUCUGUAAGCCAUGAUGAUGUAUUUAAUUUUUCCAAUGUUGUUGCUGAUAUCCCAAACAAUAUGUUUGAUUCUAAUGUAAUUGAACUUGAUUCCGAUGUUUCGGAUGUUUAUGUUUCAAUGAAUGAGAUUUCAGAGUAUGACUAUGAUGUUGCUACUAUCACCAUUUUCUACCCAACUAAUCAGAUCAAUGUACCAGAAGCGCAAUCGGAUGUUUAUGUUUCAAUGAAUGAGAUUUCAGAGUAUGACUAUGAUGUUGCUACUAUCACCAUUUUCUACCCAACUAAUCAGAUCAAUGUACCAGAAGCGCAACCGGUGCCACCAGCGCGACCGUCCGCUAUGACUAUCACAACCCCUGGUCCUUUACCUUUCACCAGCGAAAGGGCCAUUCCUUGGGAUUAUGGGGGGAGUGUGUACGCGCACGAUCAUGGGAUAGAACGGCCACUGAAGGUAGAAGAGGGUCAGAAGAUUGAACUUGAAGUUGAAGGUCCCGCAGUGGACAAUGUUGGUGGAAUCGGGCGAUUCACCAAGAGUGGUAGACUGUUCUCACCACCCGUUACCCAAGCUGAUAGUGCUGACGCUGCGACGAAAGCCAAAGGCAAGCAAGUCGUGAAUGAGGGUGCCUCUGCACCCCAGGCUGGUUCUGAGCCCACUUUUGCGAAGGAUGUGGACGAGCUUUUGAGAAUUAUAAAGAAAAGUGACUACAAGGUAGUCGAUCAGUUGAUUCAGACUCCGUCCAAGAUAUCCAUUCUCUCACUCCUAUUGUGUUCGGAGGCGCACAGGGAGGCACUGCUGAAAGUCCUAAAUGCUGCAUAUGUGCCUCAGGAGAUCUCAGUGAACCAACUGGAAGGAAUCGUUGCAAAUGUUCAUGCAAGCAACGGGUUAGGUUUUACUGAUUCUAACUUAACACCAGCUGGACGCAACCAUAACAAAGAUUUGCACAUCUCGAUGGAAUGCAAAGACACCGUGUUAUAUCAUGUUCUGGUGGAUACAGGUUCCUCUCUCAAUGUGCUACCCAAGAGAGCCCUUGUUGGUGUAAGCCCUAGAGGCCAAUAAUUUUUGGUACUUGUAUCGAAUUAUUUAUUAAUAAUAAAAGGCAUUUUCUUUAUUAUGGUUGAUUAAUAAAGUCCCUAGAAUAGAUAGUCCGUUUAAUGUAUUAAGUGUGACUUAAUCAUGAGAACACAUUAAACAUAAGGACACUAUUCUUAAAGUAUCCGUAGUCGAGCUUUAAAUGUGAAGUGGGAUAACAUUAAAGCAUUAAGACUAUUAUGUUUGUAGACUGAUGAUCACAUCUCAUGGAUCAUGGAUAAAGAGUUAUCAAGUCUUAAACAUAGGUAUGAAUAUUAGGAGUAAUAUUUAUACCGGAUUGACCCGCUAUGAGAAUACUAUAUAGAAAGUUAUGCAAAGUGUCAUAAGUUAUUCUCAUGGUGAUAAUAGUGUAUACCACUCUUCGACCUGAAACCACUAUGGAUCCUAGAUGUAGAGUCGAGUGCUUUAUUGCUGAUCCAACGUUGUCCGUAACUGGAUAACCAUAAAGACAGUUGAUGGGUACUCCACGAAGCAUGCUGAGGGACAUGAGUGUCCUAGAUGGAAUUUGCCAAUCCUGCGUAACAGGAUAAAUGUCUAUGGGCCCAAUAUUGAACUGGACAAGGGUGACACGGUCUAUACCUUGUGUUCAAUAUAGACAUAAGGGCAAAGGGGUAAUUAUACACAUAAUUAUUAUCACAGGAGGUUUUGUCAGAUCACAUGACAUUUUCGUGACUUGGGUAGCAGUGAUGUGUUGCUAGAUACCGCUCACUGUUUAUUAUGUUAAAUGCGUGAUUUAAUAUAAUUGCCAACGCCACGAAAACCUAUAGGGUCACACACAAAGGACGGAUUGAUGAGAGAUAGAGUAACUAAGGAACACCGUAAGGUACGGUGCACUUAAGUGAAUUGUAGAACAUCGUAAGGUAUGGUGUACUUAAGUAGAAUACGAAAUAUGGUAAGGUACCAAAUACUUAAGUGAUUUUGGCAUAUUAUGAGAUAUAGGCCAAAAUGCACUUAAGUGGGCUUUUUGGCUUGAAGCCCACACAAGUGGUUCUAUAAAUAGAACCCCUUGGGUAGAAGCAUUAACACUCCAGACAACACAACUGAAGAGUUGGAAUUUCGUAUCUCUCUCUCUCACUCAAAGCCUUCACUCACAAACAGCUAGCACUGCGAUUGAAGGAAUCCGUUCGUGUGGACUGAGUAGAGACGUUGUCAUCGUUCAACGUUCGUGAUCGCCCCGUGGAUCUGUAUCAAAGGUUGAUCAUUGUCAGAAAUCUGCACCAAAGGUUUGAAUCUCCACAAGAGGUAACGAUUCUAUCACUGAUCAUGCUCAUUCGUAAGGAUCAUUAAAGGAGAAAUUUUUAUAUUCCGCUGCGCCUUGGAUGGCUAUUCUCCUUCAGCCCUGUCAAGGUUAGAAGUGGAGGGUUUGGUCCUGAAGCCUUCAGAUCUUAUUGUGAGAGCCUUUGAUGGUUCUAAGAGGUCGGUGUUCGGAGAGGUAGAAUUACCAAUUCAGAUUGGAUCACAAACCUUCAACACCGUCUUCUAUGUGAUGGAUAUCAGUCCUUCCUAUAGUUGCCUGCUGGGUCGUCCUUGGAUCCACAACGCUAGGGCAGUCUCUUCAACUUUACAUAAGAAGAUUAAAUUCCCAGUCAAUGGAAGGAUUAUCACCGUCUGUGGUGAGGAGGAUAUUCUGGUUAGUAACCUGUCUACAUUCAAGUAUGUAGAGGUAGAAGGUGAAUUUCAUGAGACCCUAUGUCAGGCCUUUGAGGCAGUUCAGAUCAAGGACGCAGCUCCGGUGGAAGAAGUUUUAAAGCGGGUGCCAUCUAUCUCUCUUCAAGCAGGCAAGACCUUGGGUAGAUUCCGGGUGUUGCCCCGGAUUGGGACGUCUGGUUUUGAGUUCACCAAUGAAAAGAAGACCAAGUUCGGGAUUGGGUAUCAGCCCAACUCUGACUUCUACAACUUCAACACUUCAGGACUGUCAGGGGCCGAUUACUUUCUCCAGCCGCUGCGUCAUCCAUAUGGCCAAGGUCUCUGCGCGUCAACGCAUGAAGGAUGGCAGAUAGUGAUUGCGACAUCGAUAACUGGGUGCGUCCGAGGAUCCCGGGUGAAGUCAUCAACAAUUGGUCUUCUGAGGAGAUUGUCCAAGUCACUUUUCUGGAGGAGUAAUUUUUCUUGCUUAUUCAUGCAUGUCUAAGUCUUACGUCCCGCCCAGGGCGUAAUGACUCAUUGUAGGGCUCAUCUAUGUGAAUGCCUGCAUUUUUAUCAUAAAUAAAGGACGUCUUUUUGCAUUCAAAAUUUUGUUCACUGUCUUUCCAUUUUUGCAGUUUUCAAAAAUAAAAAAAAAUAUCUGGCAAUGUUUUGUUUAGUUUUCACUUUUUUCACACUCAUAAGCACAUACCAUCACUCAUGCAGAUGCACAUCACUGGAUCCUGUUGAUAACAGUUCUGCUAUGGCUCGCUUCGACUUGGAAAAUCCGAUCUUUCAAACUGAAGAAGAGGGUGAUGGAGACUGUGAACUCCCUGAAGAAAUUGCCAGGCUAUUAAAGCAAGAGGAAAGGGUCAUUCAACCGCAUCAAGAGUCUACUGAAGUGAUUAAUCUUGGCACCGAGGAUGUUAAGAAAGAAAUCAAGAUAUGGGCUGCUUUGGAAGACGAUGUGAAGAAGGGGUUGAUUGAAUUACUGCAAGAGUAUGUUGACAUCUUCGCCUGGUCUUAUUAGGACAUGCCCGGGCUUGACACAGACAUCGUGGUGCACCGCUUGCCUCUCAAAGAAGGUUGUCCUCCGGUCAAGCAGAAGCUUAGAAGAACAAGACCAGAGAUGGCUGUCAAGAUAAAGGAAGAAGUGCAAAAACAGUUGGAUGCAGGGUUUCUAGCAGUCACCAAUUAUCCGCCAUGGGUUGCAAACAUCGUUCCAGUAACUAAGAAGGAUGGAAAGGUACAGAUGUGUGUCAACUACCGGGAUCUGAGCAGAGCUAGCCCUAAGGAUGAUUUCUCAUUACCUCACAUCGACGUUUUUGUGGAUAACACGGCUCAGUUCUCGGUAUUCUCCUUCAUGGAUGGCUUUUCGGGCUAUAAUCAAAUCAAGAUGGCACCAGAAGAUAUGGAGAACACAACUUUCAUAACCCCAUGGGGCACCUCCUGCUACAAGGUGAUGUCGUUUGGUCUGAAAAAUGUUGGGGCAACAUAUCAACGAGCGAUGGUGACUCUUUUCCAUGAUAUGAUUCAUCAUGAAAUCGAGGUUUAUGUUGAUGAUAUGAUUGCCAAAUCUCAGACGGAAGAAGAACAUUUGGUGAAUUUGCAGAUCAACGAGCGAUGGUGACUCUUUUCCAUGAUAUGAUUCAUCAUGAAAUCGAGGUUUAUGUUGAUGAUAUGAUUGCCAAAUCUCAGACGGAAGAAGAACAUUUGGUGAAUUUGCAGAAACUGUUUGAGAGUUUGAGGAAAUUCAAGCUGAGGCUUAAUCCGAACAAGUGUACUUUCGGGGUGAGAUCUGGAAAACUAUUGGGUUUUGUUGUUAGUGAAAAAGGGAUUGAGGUGGACCCGGCCAAAGUGAAAGCAAUACAAGAAAUGCCUGAGCCAAGAACAGAGAAACAAGUUCGUGGUUUCUUAGGGAGGUUGAACUACAUUGCAAGGUUCAUCUCUGACCUAACAGCCACGUGUGAGCCAAUUUUCAAAUUGCUAAGGAAAGACCAGGCUAUCAGGUGGAAUGACGAUUGUCAAAGGGCUUUCGAGAAGAUCAAAGAGUAUUUGCAGAAUCCUCCAAUCCUUAUGCCUCCGGUCCUAGGGAGACCACUGAUUAUGUACUUGACAGUACUUGACAAUUCUAUAGGUUGUGUUCUCGGUCAACACGACGAGACAGGUAGGAAAGAGCAUGCCAUCUACUACCUGAGUAAGAAAUUCACAGACUGCGAGUCGAGAUACUCAAUGCUUGAAAAGACAUGUUGUGCACUUGCAUGGGCUGCUAAGCGUUUGAGACAAUACAUGCUGACUCACACAACCUUAUUGAUCUCCAAGAUGGAUCCAGUCAAGUAUAUAUUCGAGAAGCCAACUCUCACCGGACGGGUUGCUCGUUGGCAAAUGGUACUAACAGAGUAUGAUAUCCAGUAUACAUCCCAAAAAGCCAUCAAGGGGAGUAUUCUGUCAGACUAUCUUGCUCAACAGUCGAUUGAAGAUUAUGAGCCGAUGAAGUUUGAUUUUCCGGAUAAAGACAUCAUGUUCCUCAAGAUGAAAGACUGCGAAGAGCCAAUUGUUGAGGAGGGACCUGAUCCAGACGAAAAUUGGACUUUGUUGUUUGAUGGGGCUGUCAAUGCCAGAGGAAGUGGAAUUGGUGCUGUCAUUACUACUCCGAAAGGUGCCCACAUGCCUUUCACCGCUCGUCUAACUUUUGAGUGCACCAAUAAUGAAGCUGAGUAUGAAGCUUGUAUCUUGGGUAUUGAGCAAGCCAUUGAUUUGAGAAUCAAGACUCUGGACAUCUUCGGAGAUUCAUCUCUAGUGAUCAAUCAAGUGAAUGGUGAUUGGAACACUCUCCAUCCCAAUCUGAUCCCUUACAGGGAUUACACGAGAAGAUUAUUGACUUUAUUCACAAUAGUAAAGUUGUAUCAUAUACCUCGUGAUGAGAAUCAGAUGAUAGAUGCUCUUGCCACUCUAUCCUCCAUGAUCAACGUGAUUCGGUGGAACCAUGAUCCCAGGAUUGAUAUUAUGCGUCUCGACAGGGCCACGUAUGUGUUUGCUGCUGAACUGGUAGUUGACGACAAGCCCUGGUACCACGACAUCAAGUGUUUUCUGAAGAAUCAAGAGUACCCUGCAAGGGCAUCCAACAAUGAUAGAAAGACUUUGAGAAGAUUGGCAGGCAGUUUCUUCUUGAACAAAGACGAUGUGGUGUAUAAGAGGAACUUCGACAUGGUUUUGCUUAGAUGCGUGGAUAGACACGAAGCAUACAUGUUAAUGCAGGAAGUUCAUGAAGGCUCCUUCGGUACUCAUGUCGGGGGACAUGCAAUGGCUAAGAAAUUGUUAAGAGCAGGUUAUUACUGGAUGACCAUGGAAUCUGAUUGUUUCAAAUAUGCUUGGAAGUGUCAUAAAUGCCAGAUUUAUGUUGAUAAGGUACAUGUGCCGCCAAAUCCUUUGAAUGUGAUGUCUUCGCCAUGGCCUUUUGCUAUGUGGGGCAUUGAUAUGAGUGGAAGGAUUGAGCCGACCGCCUCCAAUGGGCAUCGCUUCAUCCUUGUUGCCAUAGACUAUUUCACCAAGUGGGUCGAAGCAGCAUCAUUCGCGAAUGUCACCAGACAUGUGGGUGCCCGAUUCAUUAAGAAAGAAAUCAUUUGUCGUUAUGGGAUUCCCGAAAGAAUCAUUACUGAUAAUGGUUCUAAUCUCAAUAACAAAAUGAUGAAGGAGUUGUGCCAGAACUUCAACAUUCAGCAUCACAAUUCUUCCCCUUAUCGCCCUAAGAUGAACGGUGUUGUUAAGGCAGCAAAUAAGAACAUAAAGAAGAUUGUGCAGAAGAUGGUCGUCACGUACAGAGAUUGGCAUGAGAUGCUACCCUUCGCCUUGCAUGGAUACCGUACUUCAGUACGUACAUCGACCGGGGCAACCCCUUACUCCCUUGUGUAUGGUAUGGAAGCAGUCCUACCUGUUGAAGUGGAGAUUCCUUCUCUAAGAGUCCUGUUGGAUGUCAAGUUAGACGAAGCUGAAUGGAUUCAGACAAGGUUCAAUGAGUUGAGUCUUAUCGAAGAGAAGCGAAUGGCAGCCGUUUGUCAUGGGCAGUUGUAUCAGAGUCGGAUGAAGAGAGCCUUUCAUCAGAAAAUGCGUCCUCGAUGUUUCCAAGUUGGAGAUUUAGUGUUGAAAAGGAUCCUUCCUCCUCAGACAGAUCACAGGGGCACGUGGACUCCUAACUAUGAUGGACCAUACAUUAUCACCAAUAUUUUCGAUGGUGGGGCCUUAAUGCUUGCAACUAUGGAUGGUGAAAACUUCACUUCCCCUGUGAACUCAGACGCAGUAAAAAAUACUUCGCAUAAAAUAGACCCGAUGGACAAUAAAAAGAAUAGUCCAGGCAAAAAAAAUGGGCGUCCCGACGAACCAAGAAAAUGAAAAGGUUCGGGCAAAAAAUAGGGAUUAAAAAUGAAAAGAUUGUACACCCGGUAAGUUGAAAACCUAAAAAGGCAACUUAGGCAAAAAUGGGUAUCCUGGUGGAUUGAAAACCCGAAAGGGCGAUCCAGGCAAAAGUUAGGGAUUAAGCGAAUGGCUGCGUUCUGAGUAGUUCUGAAUAUCAUCUCGUGUCGAUAACCGGAAACUUCAGAAGGAUAGGAAACAAUCCAAUGACCUUUUUCAGAAAGUCGAUCAUCUGGAGGAUCUUGAAGACGAGCGAGUCAUAGCAGAAUUGGAACCCGAUAGAAAUCCAUUUGACGUUGCCAUUAGAUUAAUUUCUGUUUUUAUCUUUUGUGCAAUUACCUCUUUCCAGGGAUUGCUUCCUGAUGUAAAUGCCUAUUCAGAGGCCACUCAAUCAAUAAAAUCAUGUUAUUUAGUACAUCUCUGUGUUCAUUUUCAUUUUACUGUUUUGUUUGCAAAAAUGACGUCCGAAUUUUUGGUAAACAUUGCAUCAUGAAACAUAAGAGCUUUACAGGUACGUGCUCAAUAAACAUUGAAAAUUGCUGUAAAUUUUAAGCGUUUGGGAUCGUCUAUUCAGAACAGGUACACUCGGGGCAUUUCCUUAAGGUCCCCAUCAAAUGAUCGCGGAUGUUUUUCCUCAACAGUUGGAAUUUGGUAUCUUAUCCCUGCAGAGCUGGUCCGAGCGUUGGAUUCUUCAAUCCCCAGCAGGCUCUCACUGCUGUACUUCCCCAAGCAUUUGUUUCAGAUUAUACAUUCACCAGUAGAAUCGACAAUGUCAGACUGUAUAUCACCAGCGAAGUUGACAGUGACAGACUGUAUCUUCCCAACAAAAGCGGCUGCUCCUCAGAGUUUGAUGCCAGAUCGAUGAUCUCGACGCUAGACCCACGGUCUCUUUCCUUGAAGCAGAAUCUCGGUACCGUAUCGGUGUUUGCUUCCCCUGCUGAGUCGUCUCUCUCGCAGAUUAUGGUUGCCAGAACCACUGUCGCUUUCCUCGAUAACAAGUUUUUAGUGCCGUUCUCUCCUCAGUCAGAGCCUCGGUAUUUUGUUAUUUGCCCGAACACCGUAUGGCGGAUCAUUUCCCCAGUAGAAUUCUUUGCCUCGGCUUGGUAUUCUAUCUAAUCAAGCAUUUCGCAUCCCUGCAUGUAGAAUCAUAUUGCAUUGCAUCCUCCCAAAUUGCGUAGCAUUUCCAUUUUCAUGGAGCAUUACGCCAUUGAAAAAUUCAAACAUACGCAUGUAAAGCAUAAGGCACUCUCGGUAUCCCAAGUGACAAGCCAGAAGUUGUUUCCAGUACUCAGACUGAAGAUUGUUCAUGACUUAUCUUUAUUAUUCCCAGCAGGGGUCGUUGGCCCACGCGCCGCCUCAAUUAUCAUUUUCCCUAUUUCUGCCGAUGCUAACAGGCAUGAAAGUUUCCGGUAUUCAGACCAAAGUGGCAUUCAGUCCAGUUUUCCGAUGUUCAGAUCGAAGAAGUUUCCGACGUUCAGGUCGAUGCAACUUGUGGCAUUCAGGCCAGGUUCCCGGUAUUCAGACCGAAGUGGCAUUCAGGCCAGUUUUUCGAUGUUCAGAUCGAAGAAGUUUCCGAUGUUCAGGUCGAUGUAACUUGUGGCAUUCAGGCCAAGUUCCCGGUAUUCAGACCGAAGUGGCAUUCAGGCCAGUUUUCCGAUGUUCAGAUCGAAGAAGUUUCCGACGUUCAGGUCGAUUCAACUUGUGGCAUUCAGGCCAGGUUCCCGGUAUUCAGACCGAAGUGGCAUUAAGGCCAGUUUCCCGAUGUUCAAAUCGAAGAAGUUUCCGACGUUUAUUCAGGCCAAGUUCCCGGUAUCCAGACCGAAAUGGCAUUCAGGCCAGUUUUCCGAUGUUCAGAUCGAAGAAGUUUCUGACGUUCAUUCAGGCCAAGUUCCCGGUAUCCAGACCAAAGUGGCAUUCAGGCCAGUUUUCCGAUGUUCGGAUCGAAGAAGUUUCCGACGUUCAGGUCGACGCAACUUCUGGCAUCCAGGCCAGUUUUACGGUAUUCAGACCGAAGUGGCGCUCAGGCCAGUUUCCCGGUGUUCAUACCGAUGUUUGAUAAUCUAAUAUCUUCCGAUGCUCAAAUCGAAGUCAUUUCCAAUAUUCAGACUGAUGAGCGACAUUCAGGCCAUGGUUAUUUCUGUGUUACCAUUUAUUUUGGUAUCCAGGUUAACAUUCUUUUUCGAUAUUCAGACCGACUCUCACCGUACAAGACGGAUUCUUCUUUCAAGACCAUUUAUUUGCUGAUUUUGACAGGCAUCGUUACUUCACUUCACUUCAGUGUAAAUUUUCAGGCUUUUAUUGUAUUCAAUUCCCUGAUACCUCGAAAGUGCGAAAGCCGCUGCUAUCUUCUUUUCGGGUCUCCAGUUGAUUGAAUAGGGGCAGCUGUAGCACCUCAAAUUUGCCCCCCUUAUUCAUGCAUUCAUUUUUUGGUCAUUUAACAUUUCAUAUUGUAUUUCAUCAUGUCAAUCAGAAUUAGAUCCAAGAAGCUUGAAUAUCAUCCAAGACACUUUGUGGGUUCUAUCGGGGUGAUCAACCAACACAAGGGAAUGAUUUGAGUUACUUCCAACAUGUUCAAAUAGGGUCUAUUCAUCAUUCAAAACGCUAAUCUUGAAGGAGCAAAAGUCUAUUCCUGAGUUGUCAUGCUCGCUAGGCGAGCAGCGUGGUUCGCCUAGCGAGUCUGAACUGUCAUGCUCGCUAGGCGAGCAAAUUCUUCGCUAGGCGAAGCGCACGCGUUUUAAAAAUAAAAAAUAUACAGCAGAAAAAUCUUGGACUUGGACCUAUCUCAUUUGAGCCCACCAAACAACAAAAAUCAAGUUAUAAAUUCUAAAAAUUCAGUGGAAAAACCCUAGAGAGAGAGAGAGAGAGGAGAAGAGCUAACAGAAUUCAGAGCAGCCUCCAGAGACACUGAAGAAAAAAAACUCCUUUGCACAGGAUCACCUCUACCAAUUCCAUCUCAUACAAACCCUAAGAUUGCUUUGCAAACCCAACUGGGCAAUUCAAUUUCAUUCGAUCUCUCCGAUCAGGUUUGCCCUAUUUCCAUCACUUUAUGCUUUCAAUCUGAAAUUUCUAAAUGUAUAAGGUAUUAUGGGUGAAUUUGGAAGAGUUUGUAUCGUUAGGUUUUGCACACGGGUUUAGAUAUGCAUGAAUGUGUAAAACAAUGCCUUGAAUGUUUAAUCGUUUAAUUUCUGAAAUGUGUACCAUAGGGUUUGGGGUUACUGAAAUCGGACUGUUAUCAAAGAAGAACCUAGAACCCGCAGGCAUUCGCUAGCACCUCGCUAAGCGAACAUGUAGCGACGCUUCGUUAGCACCUCGCUAAGCGAAGCAGUAGCGAUGAUGACAGUAUCUAUUUUUUCUGUUGGCUCUAUAACCUGUUUUGUGACAUGUUUUCUAUUGCAUCUGGGUAAUGUUUACCUGACAUUAUUGUUGCUAUGAUUCUUUUGUUUGGUGCAACUCUUGAUUGCACCCCAUCUUGUUACUCUAACUUGUUUGUUGAGUUUUUGUGAGAGCUCCCAUAACUCCUGAAGAGAUAGCUUGCUUGGUAUUCCACUUUAUUUGUGGGAUACCAUUGUGGAGAAUUAUUCUUAUUGCUUUGCUGACGUGCUUUCUUUAAUGAUGCUAGCUUGAGAGAUCACCGGGUUUCUUGCUUCUCUAGUUGUUAUUACUUCGGAUUUUUAUCCAUGUGGUAGAUCUCCUGAUCUCUUUAUCUUUCCCGCAUUUUACCGCUUUCUUAGCUGGAAGACCUCGAUAGGAGGCGAUGUUUUUGUGUGUGUUUACUUUUGUGCCCAAAUACCUCCAAGAAGAGGCACCAGUGCUAAAGACCUCCACAAAGAGGCAAUUGAAGGAUAAAAGGGAUUAGUAGCCAAUCCCCCGUUAUUCAGUGUGUCGUUCUUUAUGCUCGCACUACGUGUCGAUGCUUCAAAACAAAAGCCCAAGAUCUUUUGUCCGGUCAGUCAGUGGAGAGGCUUCCACCUUUCUGAAUCCCCACUUUUUGUCAUGAGCUCACUCUGUCCAGGAUUAAGAGCUAUGAGGUCUUAUCCUCAUUACCCUUUCGAUCUGCUCACCCUGACGUUCAGUGUCAGUGGUUAAGAGCCCGUUUGAUUACCCUUCCAUGGCUUGUUUGUCGAGGUUGAUAUGACCCCUCUUGACUAAAGCCCUACCCAUGUAUGCUUGAGCCCCCUUGUUGGUGCGUUUACUUUAUGCAUGUUUGUUUUGUAUGGUGUGAUCGUCUCCCCAUAGGAUUGCUAGGCUACGUAUAGUCUCUCGUUUGCAUGUCAAUCAAGGUAGCACGGUUCCUUCGUCUAGGACUUCCUUUUUGCAUGAGCACUCCUAAAACACAAACAAACUCAUUGAUUUUUCUUCUCCUAAGAACAUGUUAACUCCUUCUACUACAGGCGAGUAAGUCUCUAAAGGUCGAGCAUCCGGUAGAUUGCGUAGUAACGUCGUUCACCCUAAAAAAACACACAAAACAAACAAAUAGGUCAGCCGAGCUACGAAGACUCUGAUUCUCAUAUUCAGAAGAGAUACGUAUGUAGUGGAUGCGACAUCCGUGCGAGUCAUUUUCUUUUGACCCCUCUUUUAGUAAAUAGUAUAUUAGAUAAACCCACACCCUUUGGACAAGAACAACAAGAGUGGAUCCCGUAAAGUACUAAGGAUGCGUAGGGGUGCUAAUACCUUCCCUUCGCAUAAUCGACUCCCGAACCCAAGAUUUGGUUACGAGACCUUGUCUUUUCCUUUCCUUUUUCCAAGUUUACUUCGAGCGUUUCCUUUCCCUCAUUUGGGAUAAAUAACGCACAGUGGCGACUCUUCUGUCAUUUUCUUUCCUUUGUUGCCGGUUGUUCCGUUUCGCAUUUAGGUUGCGACAGCUAGCGACUCAGCUAGGGACCCGGUUUCCCUAAGCGAGUCCCUCCUAGAUUUUGUAGGUUUCUUGUUUGUUGGGUGUUUAUUCUUUUGCACAAUUAUUUAUUUUUCAGCAUUUACCUGCUUUACCUUAUUGCAUUCAUGUACAUAUGAUUUGCUGAAUCUGUUGGAUUCUGUGGGUUGUUUGUUUAUUGGGGUGGGAUGUUCUAUGAGAAAUAAGCCCACUACCCAGGCUUGAGUGUAUACACAGGUUUUAGAGUGGAUAAUCAUGAGGCUUGCGUGGCGUGUUGCUACGUUAAGUCGUUCGUGAAGAACCACACCCAGACGAGGUUUCUUUUGGAUAUAUUAUGUCUUACGGGUGUUCCGUAACGGUAGGAUGUUCCUCUAGAAAUCGUCGACUCUGGUGACCAUUUCCCGAGAACUCAGUCGAGGCCUCUCCUCCGAGACGUGAUUAUGUUAGCUCUGGUGGGCGCAUUCUCGCUGCUCAAUCCGAGGAUCCCGAGACUGGGAACUUGCUAUUAGGAUGUCCUGUUGAGGGGAGUCAAUGGAGGUCUUUUGUCCCGUAAUAAUACCAAACCUUCAGUGGUAAACGUAUUAUUCGCGACUGAAGGGCUGAAGCUGACGAACUUCUGUUCUUAGAACCUACCAGUGAGGGGCGGGCUAAAUUCAGGAAACCUUAACCUCCAACCAACCCGGUUUUCUGGAGCAGAGUUUUGGUCUUGUAUUAUAUUCCUCAGUGAAUUUCUCUCCAGGCAGUGCAACCUGACAGAUGUUCAAGCGGAUCCAUCAAUUCUGAUUGACAUGCCUUUGCAUUGCAUAACAUCAUCUGCAUAUUUGCAUCCAACAUCUCAUGCUUAUUCAUUUGCAGGGUAUUCCCUUUCAAAACGGGGGUGCCUUAAAACUGAACAAGCAGUGCAUCGCAUACCAUGCAUAUUAACCCUUGUCUGUUUUGCAGGUGUCACCGCAGUGUCUAAUGUUUGUUCCCUGUAUCAGGCAGUUAUUGGUCCCAAGCGAGUCCACAGGUACCCGACAAAGGAAAAUCGUCCACAGCUAGCGAUGGACCAAGUACAGAAAGAGCUGGCUGAUAUGCGUGAAAGGAUGGAUCAGUUCAUGACAUUGAUGACUGGUAUGGCAGAAGGCCAGGAAAAGCUGAGGGAAUUGGUUGAGCAACCGAGACCCGAUCCGGAGGUGGAGAUACCAAAUGCUGAGGGAAACCCUGGUAACCCUGGGAACGCUGAUAACCCUGUGAACACUGGUAACGCGGGUAACGCAAAUGCUGAUGGAAACCCGGGUAAUGUUGGCAACACAGGGAAUGUUGGAAAUGGUAUUGGCGGAAGGUACAAUGUGAAUCAAGGAAUUCGGAUUAACGGGCGCCCCGUUACUGAAGAUUAUCAGUAUGAUCAAUUUUCUUUGCACGACGAGGCCCUCGAGACCACUCGCCGUAUGGAUGAGCUUGCUGAGAAGCUCAAAUCUUUGGAGUCUCAAAAUUCCUUAGGCUUUGAUGUCACAAAUCUUGGUCUGGUUCAGGGAGUAAGGAUUCCUCACAAGUUCAAACCCCCUACUUUUGAGAAAUACAACGGGGCUUCUUGCCCACGCACUCAUCUCCAAUCUUAUCUGGGAAGGUUGGGAGCUCACACGGAAGAUGAAAAGCUGUGGAUGUACUAUUUUGAAGACAGUCUAACUGGAGCUUCUCGUGAAUGGUAUUCUCAUUUGUCUCGUACUACCAUCAAGAGCUGGAAAGACUUGGCAGAGGCUUUUGUCAAGCAAUAUCAAUACAACUUGGACAUGGCUCCAAAUCGGACCUUGUUGCAAGGUAUGUCUCAGACUGCCAAGGAAACCUUUAGAGAGUAUGCUCAGCGUUGGAGACAGAUUGCUGCGUCCGUCCAACCCCCUAUGUCUGAAAGGGAGAUGGCGGACAUGUUCAUGAACACUCUUCAAGGCAAUUAUAUUGAGAGAUUGGCUGCUUGCCCGUCAAUCAGCUUUGCAGAGAUAGUAAUUGCUGGAGAAAGAAUCGAGAGUCUGUUGAAGAUGGGCCGAAUUCAAGACAAUAGUGCUUCCAACUCAUCAGGUCCCAAGAGACCGUUUGCUGGUAACGGUCAGCGAAGAAAAGAAGGCGAGGCAAGCGUUGUGUAUGCCGGCAGAGGCAGGGGUAGAGGACGCCCUAAUUAUUAUCAAGAUCAAGUGGCCGCAGUCACUAUUCCAACACCUGUUCCUCAACCGCAAUAUCAUCCGCAACAACAACCCAGGUACAACAAUCAACAACAAGGAGGUAAUCCGGGUCAGCAGAGACACUAUCAACAACGUCCAAGGCAGACGGACCGGGUCAUCGAGCCAAUCCCAAUGCCUUAUUCAGUAUUACUUCCCAAGCUGAUUGACAUGAAUCUGGUUACGUUGAGAACUCUGGCCCCACCAAUCGAUCCCAAUAAUUUGCCUAGAGGUUAUGAUGUCAACGCCAGAUGUGCUUUUCACUCCAACGCACCUGGCCAUACUACAGAUAAUUGCAAGGCUCUCCAGUUAAAGGUACAAGAUUUGAGAGAUGCCCAGGCUAUCAAUUUUGCUCCGGUGCCUAAUGUUAUCCAGAACCCGAUGCCGGCUCACGGCGGGCAGAGGAUUAAUGCUGUUGAUAGUGGGGAAACUUUGAAUUUGGUUUCUGAUGUGACUAAGGUGAAGACUUCGCUAUCGGUGGUUAAAGACCGACUUCUGAAAGGACAGAUUUUCCCGGGCUGUGGGGAAGAAUGCAGAAAUUGUCAAGCUGCCGAAAACGGAUGUGACAGUUUGAGAAGGGGUAUUCAGCAACUGAUAGAUGAAGGUUGUCUUCAGUUCGAUCAGGCCCGUCCGGUGAAGAAUGAUGUAUCGACGGUGACGUUUUAUUUCACUCCUGAAGAAAUAUAUGUUCCCGAGAGACUCGCUCCGACAACAAUAUAUUUCCCAGAAAGUACAGAACCAGCAGCGGUGAACAUCGAAAGUUCAGCACCAGUCGCAAUUUACUCUGACAGCCCUCAACCGACUUUGGUUGGUCCAAUCACCAUCACGGUACCAGGACCUGUUCCGUAUGAGAAAGACAGUGCUAUCCCGUGGCACUAUGGGGCUGAUAUCUACUGCCAGGGGCAGAAAGUUAACGAAGAAGACAUUGACAUUGGUAGCUCCGCUGUAGACAAUGUUGGAGGGGUUGGUGGCUUCACUCGCAGUGGACGCCUAUUUGCACCAUCAACAUUACGCGCGAAUACUGAAGCCGAGGCAGCUGCCAAGGCUAAAGGAAAACAGGUAUCCACCGAAGAGGUUACUACUGAGGAAGAUCCUCCUAAGACCGCAUUCGAGAAGGAAGUGGAUGAGUUUAUGAGGAUUAUCAAGAAAAGUGACUACAAGGUAGUCGACCAGCUAAAUCAGACACCCUCAAAGAUCUCCAUUCUCUCACUAUUGCUGUGCUCUGAGGCGCACAGAGCAGCCUUGUUGAAAGUACUGAAUAUGGCCUAUGUUCCACCGGAGAUAACUGUUAACCAGCUGGAGUCGGUAGUUUCCAAUGUAAACGCUAGCCGGGGGCUAGGUUUCACCGAUAAUGACCUGACAUCUGAGGGCAGGAAUCACAACAAAGCCUUGCAUAUCACAAUGGAGUGCAAAGGGGUGAUGCUUUCCCAUGUUUUGGUUGAUACAGGCUCUUCUCUGAAUGUUCUUCCAAAGAAAGCCUUAAUGAAGUUGGAUUGCGAUGACACCAUCCUGAGGCCAAGUAACUUAGUUGUGAGGGCUUUUGAUGGCUCUAAGAGAGCUGUCUUUGGCGAAGUUGAGUUGCCAGUUAAGAUUGGACCGCAGGUGUUCAAGAGCACCUUUUAUGUGAUGGAUAUCCAGCCUGCCUACAGCUGUCUGCUAGGUCGGCCUUGGAUUCAUGUUGCCGGUGCUGUUACUUCUACCCUCCACCAGAAGCUCAAAUAUGAACUAGAAGGUCAGAUCGUCACUGUAUGUGGUGAAGAGGAUAUUUUUGUUAGCCACCUGUCUACAUUUAAGUAUGUAGAGAUGGAUGGCGAGAUGCAUGAGAUGCUGUGUCAGGGCUUCGAAACUACAAACAUCAAUGAGGUCGCGCCCGAAGCUGUCUUUUCACCUGAGUUUGAGAAGGUCGGGACUUCUAUCUCUUCAUACAAGCAAGCUGUCGAAGUGGUUAAAGCUGGUAAUGCCCAAGGCUGGGGCAAAUUUGUGGAGCCAGUCAUCAAAGAAGACAAGUUUGGAUUGGGGUAUGCUCCGGGAUCUCAGAAGAAUGAAACCGGUACUCUCUCCAGCGGGGGUUUGGUUUCUCCCCACAUCGUCAAUGCUGCAGAUGAAGACAAGGCUGACAGCGACUGUGACUUAGAUAGCUGGAUUCGCCCGUGUGUCCCGGGAGAAAAGCUCGACAAUUGGUCGUCUGAAAAAACCGUCCGGGUUACUCUACUGAAAGAGUGAUUUUUAUUGUUUUCCUUUAUUACAUGCAUAAUAAAGUCUUACACUUUGCCCAAGGUGUAACGGCUCAUUUGUAGGGCCAUCCAUUUAGUUACAUUUCGCAAUUAUUUUUAUCAUCAAUAAAGGACGGCUUUUGCAAACAAUUUUGUGUUCUCUUUCUUUCAGUUUUUUUUACUUUUACAAAAAAAAAUGGCAAUGUUUCUUUUUUCGUUUUUUCUUUCUUUCCAAAAAAAAAUCUCUCAUUCUAAGGUAAAGCAUGAUCCUCCAUCAUGCAGAGCCGACCACCCGGAUCUCACUGCUAACGACACUGCUAUGGCCAAGUAUGACUUCGACAAUCCUAUCUAUUAAGCCGAAGAAGGGGUUGAGGAAGAUUGUGAAUUGCCUGAAGGGUUAGCCAGAUUGUUGAAACAGGAGGACCGAGCUAUUACACCUUAUCAGGAGGUGAUUGAGACCGUCAACAUCGGUACCGCAGACGACAAGAAAGAGAUCAAGAUCGGGGCAAGUCUACAGGCCGAGAGGAAAGACCGUUGAUCAUGUACUUGACUGUGUUAGAAAGGUCAAUGGGUUGUGUGCUCGGUCAGCAUGACGAGUCAGGUCGAAAAGAGCAUGCAAUAUACUACCUUAGCAAAAGUUUACCGACUGUGAACAAAGAUACUCAUUGCUCGAGAAAACUUGUCGCGCUUUGGCAUGGGCUGCUCGCCGACUAAGACAGUAUAUGUUGACUCACACGACUCUAUUGAUAUCAAAAAUGGAUCCAGUCAAGUAUAUUUUUGAAAAGCCAGCACUUACCGGAAAGGUUACUAGGUGACAAAUGAUACUGACAGAGUAUGACAUCCAAUACACUUCACAAAAAGCCAUCAAGGGAAGUGUCUUGUCAGACUAUCUUGCAGAGCAACCGAUUGAUGAUUACCAACCUAUGAGGUUUGACUUUCCUGAUGAGGACAUCAUGUUUCUCAAAUCGAAAGAUUGAGAGGAACCACUCCCGGAGGAGGGGCCUGACCCUGAAUCCAAAUGGGUUAUGAUGUUUGAUGGGGCGGUCCACGUCAAUGGUCGCGGAGUUGGUGUAGUGUUGAUCACACCGGAAGGGGGUUCAUAUGCCAUUUGGUGCCAGAAUAACUUUUCCCUGCACCAACAAUGAAGCCGAAUACGAAGCUUGUAUCCUAAGACUUGAGGAAGCCGUCAAUAUACAGAUUAAAACCCUGGAUGUAUACGGGGAUUCAGCUUUGGUCAUCAAUCAAACCAACGGGAAAUGGUAUACACCUCAGCCUCAUCUGGUUCCUUACAGAGACUACACGAGAAGAUUGUUAACUUUCUUUUGAAGAAAACCAAUUUGCUGAUGCUUUGUUUACCUUGUCUUCGAUGAUUAAGGUGCUAUGCUGGAACUACGUACCCAGAAUUGACGUAUCUCGGUCAGAGACGAAUGAAGAAAGCAUUUGGUCAGAAAGUGCGCCCUCGGGGGUAUCAAGUCGGUGAAUUGGUACUCAAAAGAUUUCUUCCUCCCAACACAGAUCACAGGGGCAAAUGGACACCGAACUAUGAGGGUCUGUACGUGGUUAAAAGGAUUUUCUAUGGCGGAGCUUUGAUGCUAACAACCAUGGAUGGCGAAGGAUUCCCGUCCCCUAUUAACUCAGACGCAGUUAAAAAAUACUUCGCAUAAAAUAAACCCGCUGGACAGUAAAAAGAAUAGUCCAGGCAAAAAAGGGCAUCCCGACGAACCAAAAAAAAAGAAUAAAGAGGUUCGGGCAAAAAUUAGGGAUAUAAAAAUAAAAAAAAUGUACACCCGGUGAGUCGAAAACCCGAAAGGGCGGCUCAGGCAAAAAAGGGUAUCCUGGUGGAUUGAAAACCCAAAAGGGCGGUCCACGCAAAAGUUAGGGAUUAAGCGAAUGGCUGCGAUCUGAGUUCAUCUAUGUCAUAUCACCGUUUCAUUCAAUCCGGCAAUCUCCAAAGGUUAAAGAUCGACUAAUCAACCACUUCAGAAAGCAAGAUGAGCAAGCGUCUGGAGGUCAUACGAGUCAUAGCAGAGUCGAAACUCAGUGAGACCCCGUAUCCCCAUUGCCAUUAUUAGUUCUCUUUUUAUAGCGAUCACCUCCUUUCAGGGAUCAGCUUCCUGAUACCCUCGCCUAUUCCUGGCACAAAUUUUCUCCGCAGUAAGAUUCGAAUAAUUCAGUUAAAGAGCCUCUUUAUUUUUCAUUUAUCAGUUUAUUUGCAAAAAUGUCCGAAUUUUUGAUAAAACAUAUUUCAUAUGAACAUAAUGGUGGCUUUUGCAGAUGAUUUGCACAGGAAAACAUUUAAAAUUGCUUUGAAUGUGCUUAAUCCCGGACGGUGAUUCAAACCGAGUAAGUCCCCCGAGCAUACGUGUAUUUUUGGUUGCAAGGUCACAAGGAACCCGAUGGCCUAACGUUCAUGAAAUCCUUCAUCCCCAUAGCGGGUAACAAAGUCACUCUCCUCAGUAGAGCAUGUUCCCACCAGCAGAGGUGACAGUGAUCCAGACUAUAUAAUCCCCAGCGGAGUUGACAGUGUCAGACUGUAUCUUCUAGCAACACCGGAGUGGUUGCAUAACCAACAGAUGAGAGGGUGGUGUUCCCCAGUGUUCAUCUCAUUCCCCAGGCAGAUUAUUUUAACAGAUUCUGUUGAAUCCCUCAUCCCGCCAGUAUCAGCUUGAGGGUGAUUAGCAAUGUUCACUAUCCCCAGCAAUGCCCUAAUGUGCGUUAAUCCUACUGACACUUCCCCAGGAAGUGUUUUCCCCGCACGACCUCUCCUCCACAUGGAAGCCUGCGCCGAAUCACACAAGUUUUUUCCGUAGUUUGAUACUCCCCCCCGAGACUACCACGCAAGCUCAACUUUCCAAGCAAGCCAAUUUGUUGGUGGCCUCAUUGGUCCCCUGGCAGAUACGGAUCAUUCCCCACAGAGCAUUCAAGGAUUGAAACAUGGCGAUCUGUUCCCCUACCGGAGUGGCGUUCCCAAGCGAGAUUUCUUUUAACAACCGGCAUAACAAGCAUCUUGCAUGCAUAUGCAUAUCAAGCAGUACACAUAAGUUUGAAGAACAGGUCGUUCAAGAAGACUGAAGAAUACUUUACAACCCAAGGUCAUGGAAAUCCAGCCAGAGGAUCAAGUGGGAGUGACCAAGCGAGGGUCGUUUGAAGAUUCAGCCUCGAGAAACGUUUUCCCAGUGAUGCCAGCCCUGAGGGUUCAUGGAAGAUUCAGCUUGAGAACGUUUCCCAGUUGAUCGACCCGGCCUGAGGUUCAAUUUUGAAGACUUCAGCGCCUGAGUAAUCGUUCUUCCAGUGAUUCCAGCCUGAGGGUCCAUUUGAAAGAUUCAGCCUGAGAAUCGUUUUCCCAGUGAUGCCGGCCUGAGGUUCAAUUUUGGAAAGAUGUCGGACCAUGAGAAUCGUGUGUCCAGUGAUCCAGCCUGGGUCAUCGGAGAAUCAGUGUUCGAAGUUCCACCAUGCGGAGCAGUCGUGACAGUUUAGCAGCAGGCGUCUUUACGAGAGAUUCAAACUGAGAAAUCGGUCCUACGUAAGCAGCCUAAGUUGCGUCAAUGUUGAAGAUUCCCAGUGGAAGUCGCCUACAAGCUUUACUUCCCCAACAAGCCAAGUCUAAAUUGAGGAGUCUGUUACAACAUGUUCUAGGCCCAAGAAUAUGUUACGAAGCCCAAAAGUGGAAUAUCCCGAAGCUGCAAUCUAAAUAUGAAGGUUGGGUGAAUUCAAAAGCGGUCCAACCAGCGGCAUGCCUCAGAUGCGGGAUCCUAAUGAUGGGAAAUUUACUCAUGCAAACAAUCCAGCUCUAGCGUCCAGAUAGAUCGAAGUAGAUUGCAGCCAGAGAAUGCGAAACAAAGAAGAUCUACGGCCAGAAGAUAGAAAUCGCAACAAUUCAGAUCUAGCCAGAAGAUCGAAGUGAGAAUUCAGGCCAGAGAAUCAAAAGGAAAUAGAUUCAGCCAGAGAAUCGAAACGAAGGAGAUCUAGCCAGAAGAUCAAAAUCGUAUCCAACCGAGGAUCAAAAUUAAUAUCCAAACAGAGGACUAAAUUGAGGUAAUUAUGCUUUUGCCAGAGGAGGAACUCGAACUGAAACCAGAUUAAGCCAGAAGAGACUGAUUCAGAUCCAGCCAGAGGAAGGAUCGGAAGAAAAAUAAACAGCGCGGUGUAUUUCCCGCAUUUUUUGUGGUGUUCUCGGAGCGCAAAUUUUUUGGUCUGUUUGGUAUUCAAUCACAGCUCACCCCGUUUGGUCUGAUAAGUUGUUUCGCUUUCAUCCCUACUCGGGUUAGCUUGAUGAUUGAAAUAGGGGCAGCUGUAACACCCCCAAAAUUUUCCCUCCUCAUUCAUGCAUUCAUUUUAACAUUUCAUAUUAACAUUUCAUCAUGUCAAUCAGAAUAGAUCCAAGAAACUUAUUUAAAAAAAAAAUAAAAUAAAAAAAAAAUAAAAUAAAAAAAAAAUAAAAAAAUAAAUAAAAUAUAAUAGAAAAAAGACUUGGACUUGGACCUCUCUCAUUUGAGCCCACAAAAGCCAUGAAAUCAGGUUAUAAAAGAGGAGAUCAGACAGAAAAAGGAAGAGAAGCAAAAACACUCCUGAGGUUUCCUUGCCACAAACCCUGGACAAAACCUGGAGAGAAAGCUAGACAGAGAUUGUGAGAAUCUAACUGCAGCACACUCCAGGCAACUCUGAAAAGGUUCAUUCUACUCACAAGACUUUCAACUCAAGCAAACCCUACAUUGGUUUGCAAAAUCCAGCCGUGCAUUUGAUUUCAACCGAUCUCUCCAAUUAGGUUUGGCCCUAUAUCCAUCAUCUUUACUGCCUUUAAUUUGAAUGCUCCUAAAUGUAGAGGUGUUUAUGGGUGAAUUUGAUACCCUUUUGAGGCAUGUGUUUGACAAGAGGUUUUGCCUCCUACCCUUGGUUGCUUUUUGGGAAAUUGAAAGGGCAUGAUUCUAGUGGUUACAUUUUUGAUUUGGGGCAACCCUUGAUUACCCUAUUUUUUUUUCUCUCUAACCUGUUUGUUUGAGUUUUUUUUGUGUGAGGGCUCACAGACUCUUGCAGAGAUGGUUUGCGUGGUUUUCCCACUUUAGUUGUGGGAUACCCCCUGGAGGUUCAUUCCGAUUACCUGUACUGACUCACCUUUCUUUGAUGGCAUUUAGCUUGGGAGAUCCCUGGUUUCUUACUCCUUUAAUUGUUGUUACUUCGAUGCUUUAUCCGUGUGGUACUUUUACCUCUUUUCCGCAUUUUAUCGCUUUCUUAGCUGGAAGACCUCGAUAGGAGGCAUUUGUUUUCUUUUGUUUAUUUACUUCUGAGCCCCUUGUUGGCACAUUUACUUUAUACAUGUUUUGUUUGUAUGUGUUCGUAUCCCUGCAGGUCAGCGCGGUUCCCUUCGUCAAGGACCUGCCUUUUCUUCCCUUGGAGCAUCCCUAAACCACUAAAACCCAAAGCAACACGUUAACUCCUUCUACUACAAUGCGAGUAAGUCUCCAAGGUCGAGCAUCCGUUAGAUUGCGUAGUGACGUCGUUCGUCCAAAACCCAAUCCAUAACCCCGUAGUCUUAGCCGAAUACGGCUUGCUCUGAUUCUCAUUCCAGAUGAGAUACGUAGGCAUAAGACGUGAUGUCUUAGCGAGCAACACAUCCCCCCACCCAUAGGUCAGCCCGAGCUACGAAGACUCUGAUUCUCAUAUUCAGAUGAGAUACGUAUGCAAGUGGAUCGCAACAUCCGCGCGAGUCAUUUCAUUUAACGCCUUUUUUUGGGUAAACAGCACAAGAAAUAAACUCAACACCCUUUAGACAAGAACUACAAUAAGUGGAUCCCGUAGAGUACUACGGAUGCGUAGGGGUGCUAAUACUUCCUUCGCAUAACCGGCUCCCGAACCAAGAUUUGGUUGCGAGAACCGACCGUUCUGUCCUUAUCCUUUUUCAGGUUUACUUCGAGCGUUUCCUUUCCCUCCUUUGGGAUGAAUAACGCACGGUGGCGACUCUUCUGUCAUUUUCUUUCGCCGGUUGUUUUUUCGCGCACUGUAUUUUUCAGGUUGCUACAUCAGGGAUACCGUCCCCAACCCGAACUGCUGAGGUUUCUUAAUCAACAACCAUUGUUCGUUCCUCAACUAGCUCCGAGGAACCAAAUGCGGAAUCAGAAUUGGUACUCAAGUCGGAGGCAAAACUCUUAUGCUCAAAAUGGCCAGGAAAAAUCAAAGAGGUUGGAAAAACAGUUUGACCUGAUUCCCAUGACGUAAGGUCGAAUUCUCCCUCUUUUGCUCAACAAAUCAUUGGUGCAGUUAAGGGCACUAGGACCUCCUCCAACACC